GACGAACGCUGGCGGCGUGCUUAACACAUGCAAGUCGAACGAUGAAGCCGGAGCUUGCUCUGGUGAAUUAGUGGCGAACGGGUGAGUAACACGUGAGUAACCUGCCCUUGACUCUGGUAUAACUGCGGGAAACUGUAGCUAAUACCGGAUACGACCCUCAGAGGCAUCUCCUGGGGGUGGAAAGAAUUUCGGUCAAGGAUGGACUCGCGGCCUAUCAGCUAGUGGGGGAGGUAAAGGCUCACCAAGGCGACGACGGGUAGCCGGCCUGAGAGGGUGACCGGCCACACUGGGACUGAGACACGGCCCAGACUCCUACGGGAGGCAGCAGUGGGGAAUAUUGCACAAUGGGCGCAAGCCUGAUGCAGCAACGCCGCGGGAGGGAUGACGGCCUUCGGGUUGUAAACCUCUUUUAGCAGGGAAGAAGCGAAAGUGACGGUACCUGCAGAAAAAGCACCGGCUAACUACGUGCCAGCAGCCGCCGUAA
rnacentral:rRNA from 1 species